rnacentral:rRNA from 1 species
UGGGCGUUAAGUUGCAGGGUAUAGACCCGAAACCCGGUGAUCUAGCCAUGGGCAGGUUGAAGGUUGGGUAACACUAACUGGAGGACCGAACCGACUAAUGUUGAAAAAUUAGCGGAUGACCUGUGGCUGGGGGUGAAAGGCCAAUCAAACCGGGAGAUAGCUGGUUCUCCCCGAAAGCUAUUUAGGUAGCGCCUCGUGAAUUCAUCUCCGGGGGUAGAGCACUGUUUCGGCUAGGGGGCCAUCCCGGCUUACCAACCCGAUGCAAACUGCGAAUACCGGAGAAUGUUAUCACGGGAGACACACGGCGGGUGCUAACGUCCGUCGUGAAGAGGGAAACAACCCAGACCGCCAGCUAAGGUCCCAAAGUCAUGGUUAAGUGGGAAACGAUGUGGGAAGGCCCAGACAGCCAGGAUGUUGGCUUAGAAGCAGCCAUCAUUUAAAGAAAGCGUAAUAGCUCACUGGUCGAGUCGGCCUGCGCGGAAGAUGUAACGGGGCUAAACCAUGCACCGAAGCUGC